UCCGAUAUGGUGUAACGGCUAACAUCGCCGCCUUUCAAAACAAAAGAUUUGACCGCGGCAGCUCGGGGUUCGAUUCCCCGUAUCGGAG
rfam:Aspergillus carbonarius ITEM 5010 unplaced genomic scaffold ASPCAscaffold_18, whole genome shotgun sequence.